rnacentral:rRNA from 1 species
UUUAAUUGUAAGUAGUUUUUAAAAUUAGUGUUAGUUAAGUUCUUUAAAUUUAAAGAUUUUGGCGGUAUUUUAGUCUUUUCAGAGGAACCUGUCCUAUAAUUGAUAGUCCACGAUUAGUCAAACUUUUUUUAAUGAUUUGUAUAUCGUCGUAUAUUAAAUAUAUUAAAAGAUAAUAUUAAAUUUUUAUUAUAAUAUAAUUCAGAUCAAGGUGCAGUUAAUGGGAAAGAAGAGAUGGGUUACAAUUUUAAUUAAAAGUAGAUUUAAUUUUUUAAAGGUUAAUAAAAAUGGAUUUGAAAGUAAUUAAUAAUAUAUAUAUAUAUAAUGAUUAAAGCUCUAAAAUAUGU